rnacentral:misc_RNA from 1 species
GAAGUGCGAAAAGCAAUGCGAAUUGCAGAUCCGUGAGUCAUCAGAUUUUUGAACGCAACUGGCUCCGCAGGGUAUCCCUUGCGGAAUGCUUCUUUCAGUGUGUGCUUUUUUCCUGCCCCAAAGCAUAGUGCGGUAGAUGCCCUUCUACUGCGAAGCGCGAAAGCACUCUGUGCUCUGCGGUGGUGCCUCCGGGCAUCACACUCAAUGCAGCAGUCACAUUCUCCAAUGUGAACUCAUUGAGAGUAGAGCCAGCGCAGCCUGCUGCCAGUGCUUAGACACCUAAAUUUUCACAGCAUCUGAGAUGAAGUAGGACCACCCGCUGAACUUAA